AAUGAACGCUGGCGGCAGGCCUAACACAUGCAAGUCGAACGGAUCCCUCGGGAUUAGUGGCGGACGGGUGAGUAACGCGUGGGAACAUACCCAAAGGUACGGAAUAGCCUCGGGAAACUGGGAGUAAUACCGUAUGUGCUCGAAAGAGGAAAGAUUUAUCGCCUUUGGAUUGGCCCGCGUUGGAUUAGGUAGUUGGUGGGGUAAUGGCCUACCAAGCCGACGAUCCAUAGCUGGUUUGAGAGGAUGAUCAGCCACACUGGGACUGAGACACGGCCCAGACUCCUACGGGAGGCAGCAGUGGGGAAUCUUAGACAAUGGGGGAAACCCUGACCUAGCCAUGCCGCGUGAUCGAUGAAGGCCUUAGGGUUGUAAAGAUCUUUCAGGUGGGAAGAUAAUGACUGUACCACCAGAAGAAGCCCCGGCUAACUCCGUGCCAGCCGCCGCGGUAA
rnacentral:rRNA from 1 species